GCGAGUGGCUGCCUUCUCCGGUGAGAAGGCAGCCCACCUAGUCGGGUUGCCUUCUCACCGGAGAAGGCAAUCCAGGUA
rnacentral:pre_miRNA from 1 species